rnacentral:lncRNA from 10 species
AGAGCAAGACUCUGUCUCCAAAAAAAUAAUAAUAAAAACUUUUUUCCAGAGAGCUCUGAAAUGGAAAAAGAGUGCAGAAUAGCUUCAAUUCAAUGAUGGCAAAGUUAAAAUUCCUAACAUGGUCUAACUGGCACACUCUGAAUGAUACGAGAAACACAAUGACAUCCUUGCUGUUUUUAAACUUGAGCAACUCGAGUUGUUGAUAUGAGAGACAAACAACAUCUAAAUGCAAGCUGACUUUCUUUUCACAGCUAGCAUAUACCUCAAGUAAGCAAGCCCAUUUCAUCUUCUUUUUCAGAAUAGCUUCUUUCAAUGAAUAUCAAACAGUAUUCUCUACAAUUUCAUAAUGUAUAUACGCUAGGAUGCAUUUGUCUUAAAUGCAGUUAUGUUUUGACUAUUUCUAAGUAAAAGUGCAUUAAAAACAUAAUGAAGCUCGUAUUUUUUGCACUGUCUCUUAAUUUUAUGGUGGACAAAGCACCAAUUUCUGAAAUUCAAUAAAAGCAAACCUUCCUUUGUUGUUCGGAUCUUAGCAAUGGGUUUAGUAGUUUUAACUUCUUCCAUUUUGAAGCCUUCCAUUUUUAGCCUUAAGUAGCUAGACAUAAAAAGGAAAGGAAGGAGAGAUCAUGUAAGUAGCUAAUCAGAUAAAUGAAAACUGACUUGAAGUUAAGUUUUAUUAGCCCUUUCUUUUCUUGAAUUGAGUAAUAACAUCUCUACUUUGGAUUAUGUUCAAUAACCAAGAAAACAAACAGCACUUAAUUUUAAAAAAACAAAAAAAAAGAAACCCAAAUUCCAUGAAAUAAUAGCUUGGUAAUAGUAUUAAUAUUCCAGAAAAAAUAUAAGAAAUUUGGUAUUUAAAACAAAACAAAUAACCAAAAUGCUUUCCUCAUCUACCAAAACCCAACAUUAAGUAAAACUUAAAACAGGCAAUUUACCACCUCCAUUGAAAUGAAUACAUAGUCUCCAAUUUAUGUGUGUUGUAUUCUAAAGUAAGGACAACUGAAAAUCAAGAUGUGCUCUCCACAAAAAGUGAUAUAAAUGGCAGCUCAAGAGUUCCAGAUAGUACAACACUACAAGGUGUUCUCAACAAAAAGUCUUUGUUAGACUUCAAUAAUACUAUUUGGUACUUCUAUCAGCAAAUAGGAAGCAUUCCAAUACUUAUUAGAUCCUCUACCAUCAGACACAGAAAUUACCUAGAAAACAGAAAUGUAUUGCCAAAUCUCAAACAAGAGGGCUGAUUAAAACAAACAAAAACACCCUUAAGACGUCUCACAUACAGAAAUCAUGGCCAUCUUUGGGUUAAGAUUGGCUGAUUUUCCAGUAGUGCUGGGGUAGGUCUUCCUGAUAGAGGGGUCCAGGCAUGGCAGGGUCCCGUAAGCGGCUGGUGAGGAGGACCCACUGCUUUGCCUCCUACCAGUGAUGAGCGAGGCUUUGGGGAAGGACUAUGCGUCCAUCACUCCUGAUGUUCUUUUCAUGGCUCGAACUUUUGCUUAGUGCCAGCAUUGUUGAUCUGUAGCUGAGCAAGCUUACAUAAAGGCAUGUAUACACAGGCACGGAGCUCUCUAACAUGGAAUUGAAGUGAAACCCUGUCUCUACAAAAAAUCAGCCAGGCGUGGUGGUGGGUGCCUGUAAUCCCAGCUACUCGGGAGGCUGAGGCAGAAGAAUGCUUGAACCUGGGAGGUGGAGGUUGCAGUGAACUGAAAUCGCGCCACUGCACUCCAGCCUGAGCGACAGAGCGAGACUCUGUCUCAAAAAACAACAAAAAAGAAAGCACUGGUACUUCAUGUAACAAAUUAUGAUUUGCGUAUGUCUGUACCUUUACAACAUUACUGGCACUUGUAUAAAGGAGAUUCCUUGUCAAGGACUGAAUCAAGGAACUUAACACCCUAUUCCAGAAAAACAAGUAUGCAAUACUAGUAGAAGGAAGAAGAAAGCUUCUGUUUUCCUAGGCACAAGGCCUGUCUUCAAGAAACUUUCAAAACAAGUAGUUAGGCUUUGGCUGGCUUCUACACCAUCUGCAAACGCCCAGGGCCUUCAUGCAACCUUUAGCUACCUAGGGCUACCCAGUACCCUAAAGUGCCCUGCACCUUAAAACUCACCUGUUUUCUCCUUUUUCAUUUCUGCCCCUAUCAAAACUUCUUUUCUGCCAGGUGCAGUGGACCAACAUCUGUAGUUCCGGCUGCUCAGGAAGGUGAAGUGGGAGGAUCACUUGAGCCCAGGAAUUUGAGUCCAGCCUGGGCAACACAGCAAGACCUCAUUGCUUUAAAAAAAAAAAGUAGGGCUCAGUGGCUCAUGCCUGUAAUCCCAGCUACGUAAGAGGCUCAGGCAGGAGGAUUACUUGAGCCCAGGAGUUCAGGGCUGCAGUGAGCUGUGAUUGUGCCACUGCACUCCACCCUAGGUGACAGAACAAGACCCCAUCUCUUAAAAACAAACCAACCAAAAAACACAGGUUUCGUCUCAGAGAAGCGGGGUGGGCUCUACUUAGUAGUAGAGUCUCUUAAAACAAUCAACAGUAGUGUAAUUUAUCAAUAAUCAGAUAGCAGACAUCCCUCUCAGAGAUCUAUAUAUUUUCAGCCACAAAGCUUAAAAUCUCAAAUGUCAACGAGUAGGAUUUCAGGCA